rnacentral:rRNA from 1 species
UACGAAGGGGACUAGCGUUGUUCGGAAUUACUGGGCGUAAAGCGCACGUAGGCGGAUUUGUUAGUCAGGGGUGAAAUCCCGGGGCUCAACCUCGGAACUGCCUUUGAUACUGCAAGUCUCUAGUCCGAUAGAGGUGGGUGGAAUUCCUAGUGUAGAGGUGAAAUUCGUAGAUAUUAGGAAGAACACCGGUGGCGAAGGCGGCCCACUGGAUCGGUACUGACGCUGAGGUGCGAAAGCGUGGGGAGCAAACAGG